CCCUUAGAUGUCCUGGGCCGCACGCGCGCUACACUGAGUGUCUGAGAUACGAGUCUGCCUGGUCCGGCAAGGUCUAGGUAAUCGCUAAAAGACACAUCAUGCUUGGGAUAGAUUAUUGCAAAUAUUAAUCCUGAACGAGGAAUUCCUAGUAAGCGCAAGUCAACAGCUUGCGUUGAUUACGUCCCUGCCCUUUGUACACACCGCCCGUCGCUACUACUGAUUGGAUGUUUAAGCGAGGUUCUCGAACUGCUAGCGACUUAGCUUCGGUGAGGUCGCAGUGUGGGAAGUGAACCUAGCUUUGGUGCCUAGAGGAAGUAAAAGUCGUAACA
rnacentral:rRNA from 1 species